rnacentral:rRNA from 1 species
GGGUUGUGAGGUUAAGCGACUAAGCGUACACGGUGGAUGCCCUGGCAGUCAGAGGCGAUGAAGGACGUGCUAAUCUGCGAUAAGCGUCGGUAAGGUGAUAUGAACCGUUAUAACCGGCGAUUUCCGAAUGGGGAAACCCAGUGUGAUUCGUCACACUAUCGUUAACUGAAUACAUAGGUUAACGAAGCGAACCGGGGGAACUGAAACAUCUAAGUACCCCGAGGAAAAGAAAUCAA